AACUUUCCGAUAGAAUAAGGGGUCAGGC
rnacentral:sRNA from 1 species